UCCUCAACUAGUAGAUUAUCUAACUCUUCAAUUUGUCCUGGGGGCCUAUAAAUCACACCUACACGAGUUACUGUGUGAUUACCAAAUUCUAACGUAGCCCAAACGGACUCUGUUUGCCUCACUAACUUUUAUUAGGCUAGAUUUUAUGUUAUCCUUCACAUACAAGGCCACCCCUCCCCCUUUCUUGCCUUCCCUAUCUUUCCUAUAUAAAGAGUACCCUGGUAUUGCUAUGUCC